rnacentral:rRNA from 1 species
AAUAUUUGUCAAUGGGCGAAAGCCUGAUCCAACCAGCCCGCGUGUGUGAAGAAGGNCUNNUGAUUNUNAAUCCCUUUAUGUUGNNNNNUAUGGCAGUAAAUGAAUACCUUGCUAUUGUGACGUUACCGACAGAAUAAGCACCGGCUAACUUCGUGCCAGCAGCCGCGGUAAUAUGAAGGGUGAACGCGUUAAUCGGAAUUACUGGGUGUAAAGCGCGCGUAGGUAGUAUGUUAAGUUAGAAGUAAAAGCCACGGGCUCAACCUGGGAAGUGCUUGCAAAACUGGCAAGCUAGAGUAUGGCAGAGGGUGGUGGAAUUUCCUGUGUAGCGGUGAAAUGCGUAGAUAUAGGAAGGAACACCAGUGGCGAAGGAGACCACCUGGGCUAAUACUGACACUGAGGUGCGAAAGCGUGGGGAGCAAAC